rnacentral:rRNA from 1 species
GACGAACGCUGGCGGCGUGCUUAACACAUGCAAGUCGAACGAAGUGGCGUACGGGUGAGUAACGCGUAAUCAACCUGCACUUCAGAGGGGGUCAACAGUUGGAAACGACUGCUAAUACCGCAUACUGCAGGAGGGGAGUGCGUCUGAUUGGCUAGGUGGUGGGGUCACGGCCCACCAGGGCGGUGAUCAGGCGCCGGGCUGGGGGUAUGAACGGCAAAAUUGGGACUGGAGAACGGCCCAGGAUCCUACGGGGGGCAGCAGGGGGGAAUCUUCCGCAAUGGACGAAAGUCUGACGGAGCAACGCCGCGUGAGUGAUGACGGCCGUCGGGUUGUAAAGCUCUGUUAAUCGGGACGCAGUACCGGAAUAGAAAGCCACGGCUAACUACGUGCCAGCAGCCGCGGUAAUUC